GGAGCGGUAGCUCAGCUGGUUAGAGCGCCUGCCUGUCACGCAGGAGGUCGCGGGUUCGAACCCCGUCCGUUCCGCCA
rnacentral:tRNA from 1 species